UACGAGGGGGGCAAGCGUUGUUCGGAAUUAUUGGGCGUAAAGAGCUCGUAGGCGGUCUGUUGCGUCUGCUGUGAAAACCCGGGGCUUAACCCCUGGCUUGCAGUGGAUACGGACAGACUAGAGGUAGGUAGGGGAGAAUGGAAUUCCCGGUGUAGCGGUGAAAUGCGCAGAUAUCAGGAGGAACACCUGCGGUGUAGACGGCUUUCUGGACCAUUGCUGACGCUGAGACACGAAAGCGUGGGUAGCAAACAGG
rnacentral:rRNA from 1 species